rnacentral:lncRNA from 1 species
UCCACAUUAUGAUGCCAGAGAUGUGACUAUUGGCAGUGAUGGUGUGUUGCGGAUGCAGGGCCUCAUUUGCGUGCCCAAUGUGGAUGGGCUCUGAGAGUUGAUAUUAGAGAAGGCCCACAACUCGCAGUAUUCUAUUCAUCCGGGUGCUGUGAAGAUGUACUAGGACUUGAGGCAGCAUUAUUGGUGGAGGAGAAUGAAAAAGGACAUUGUGAGUUAUAUGGC